UGAUAUAUCUAACUCUUAUCCCAUAUAUCUUAUCUCAAACUAACAAACUCAUCUUCCAAGCUCACAUAGAAUUCGUUUGACCUGGUUGAGUUUGUUGAUGUUGAAUCCGAGAUCUUGGCAAAUAUACGAGGAUUCUGGUCGGUCUCCAUUAUAUUUGAAAUGCAGGUAACACUCAAUGUGAAUUCUUGGGCUUCUAUCUUACAUACACUCGAUCGAAGGGAAAAUCAUUCGUAGAGUACUGAAACGAUCCUCAAGGCACCAUCGUCGCACCACCUCUGUCACUCUCUUUCUUGUUACAAAUGAAGCGAUCAUGAAGACGCCAAAAAUGAAAAUAAAGCUGAUGGUAGGGAAUAUAUGCUUAAAUAAGAAGCGGCUUGCGGGAUAUGCUCUUCAUUUUGGAUGUGGGGUAGUAUACAGUCUCUACAAUAGGUGGUAGGGACAUGUAUGUGUGAGAUCUGAUUUCUUGGGGUAUGUGUAAAUGUGAAUCUGAUAUGUCCAUGUAUGACCAUCAAAACAUCAAUGGCAGAAUACAGUAUUGAAGAGUUGAGCAGAACUUUUGCAACUAGAAACUUGAACUCAAGUAAAGAGUUUGUUUGGAUUGAAAGACUACAAAUUUCGUUUGUAAGUGUUUGUGUUUGUUAAGUUUGGUUGACAGAUUAAGCUGGUGAACUAUCCAACUUCAAACUUUGAUCAUCAUGUUUUUUUUUUUUAAUUUCAUCUUUGAUUUCAAAUAGAAGUGAUGGCUUAAGACCAAAGAUUAUGGUUACUGAAUAUGAGAUUUUAUUACUUUAUAGUUUUUACAUGAAAUUAAUUUUAAAAUUAUUUAUAGUCCUAUUGGUUGACUGAUUUUCAUGGAAAAUCAUUGGAUUUUGAUCUUCCUUCAUUUAUAUUUCAUUUGUUUGAUUUCAAGCAUGAGAUGGCUUUACCUAGCUUUAAUCUGCUAUACUUAAAAAGCAAGUAGAUGUUGGUCUAAAUUCACCAAAAAAAGAAAACCAAUAGAUUGUUUUGGCAUUUUAAAUGUUGCAUGAAUCAUUUUUGUUGUGUGUUUGUAUAGAGAGAGUCGGGAGUAGAUAGUAGAUACCAAACAAAUACUAUAUGCUUGAUUGGUUUGUGUCUUAAGAACAUUGUCAAAUCAGCCUCCCAGAGAUAACUACCAUACCCAUGUGGAUUUAUUUUAAUGUAUGUUGAUUGUGAUGUCUCCUUUGUUGAAUUUAGACAUAUUGUUGAUAUUUUGAUUAUCAUACAACUAUGGACAUGGUUUCUUUGUUUACAUUUAACACUUAAAUGAAUUCUUAAUCUUUUGAUUGUAUAUACUCAGAUGCGUAAUUACCGACUUAUUAUUAACCCGAUCAAUGUUGUUGGUGGUACCUCAUCCAAAUUUGAUUUCAAAAUGAAGGUAAAUAUAUUUUGACCAUUUGAUGUUUUUAUGAGUUAGAUGGUUUUUACAUGCCACAUGUUCACCAAAUUUCUAUAGAAAUUGCAGGUCAAUCUAAAUACACGAUUAUUGGUAUAUACCGAAUUUUGUGGAAAAAUUUAAAAAUUAUCAUGAGUUUGUAUAUAUAGGUGCCAGUUAUAUAUAAUUUAAGAAGUUUUGUGUGAAAUCCUUCUAAAUUUUGUGGGAAACUUGAAUUUGAGUAAAAGGAUGUUCAAAAAAAAAAAGUCAAAGCAUGUGAUCUUGGUUUAAUCUUUAUGUGUUUACAGAUAGACAACAUGUUUUGAGAGGAAACUGUUUGUUAAGAUGAAGUGUUUAUUAGAACUCAGAAGAGUCAAUAAGAAUGCUGAAGGUCAAGUGUUGGUGUGAAUGAAAUUGUAUUGAUAUUCGUUAAGAUAGAACCAAAGACUAUAAAUCAAUUAUUUUCAAAAGCUGCAAAAUUGAUUGGUUGAGGUGAAAAGUAUACAGUCACUACUUUUAAAUAAACAUUGACAGCAAGUGUAUGCCGUUUUUUUUUUCUUAUUAGGGCAUUGUACAUUGAUUUUGAUUUUGAUUUAGAUUACACCCCUUUUGUGCAUGCCGUUUUCUACAUGUGUAGUCUUUUAUGGAAUGUAUGUUUGAUUGAAUUCAUAUAUUUUAGUAUUGAUAUUUAUGUAUCAAAAGAUACCAUUUCAAUGGUUGAUAAGCUUAAGUUUCAUUUUA